ensembl:lncRNA
AUCAACUCUAAUACUCUGUUAGGUCAUCAACUCUAAUACUCUGUUAGGUCAUCAACUCUAAUACUCUGUUAGGUCAUCAACUCUAAUUCUCUGUUAGGUCAUCAACUCUAUUACUCUGUUAGGUCAUCAACUCUAAUACUCUGUUAGGUCAUCAACUCUAAUUCUCUGGUAGAAGUAGUGGAACAUAUAUCUUUGAAGAUUCAAUUACCGCCGAGAGAGAGAAGGUAGAGAGUGAGAGAAGACAGACAGAGUGGGUAGAGAGAGAGAGAGCGCACGGGUGGAGAGAGAGUAAAGCCCCUUGAAUUGAAUUGAAUUGAAUUGAGAGAGAAGACAGACAGAGAGGGUAGAGAGAGAAGGUAGAGAGAGAGAGAAUACAGUCAGAGAGGGUAGAGAGAGAGAGAGAGAGAGAGAAUACAGACAGAGAGGGUAGAGGGAGAGAGAGAGAGAGAGAGAGAGAGAAAGGUGUCUCCAUAGCAGGCACAAAUUGAAUGGGCUAUUUGUAGAACAUAUGUCUUUGAAGUGGUUGUAUACCUAAUAGUUGUGAGGACACUGGUGAUGGCUACUAUGCUGCCAUGCUUAUCCACAAUGGCUAAGUGAUUCCCAAAUUACACCCUGUUCAUAUAUAGUGCACUACUUUUGACCAGGGCCCAUAGGGCUUUGGUAAAAUGUGUAUCUUUUCAGCAUACGUCUUCGGGGCAUGGACUCUACAAGGUGUCGAAAGUGAUCCACAGGGAUGCAGGCCCAUGUUGAUUUUUUUCCCAAUGUUGUGUCAUAUUGGCUGCAUGUCCAUUGGGUGGUGGACCAUUCUUGAUACACACGGAAACUGUUGAAUGUGAAAAACCCAGCAGCGUUGCAGUUCUUGACACAAACCGCUGCGCCUGGCACCUACUUGAUAUCGUACCCCGUUCAAAUGCACUUAAUUCUUUUGUAUUGCCUAUUCACCCUCUGAAUGGCACACAUACACUAUCCAUGUCUCAAUUGUCUCAAAGCUUCAAAAUCCUUCUUUAACCCGUCUCCUCCACUUCAUCUACACUGAUUAUUGGAUUUAACAAGUGACAUCAAUAAGGGAUCAUAGCUUUUCACCUGGAUUCACAUGGUCAGUCUGUCAUUGAAGGAUCUGCAAAUAAAUUCAUUAAAAAUCCUACAAUGUGAUUUUCUGGGAAAAAAAUUCUCAUUUUGUCUGUCAGAGUUGAAGUGUAGUACCUAUGAUGAAAAUUACAGGCCUCUCCCAUCUUUUUAAGUGGGAGAACUUGCACAAUUGGUGGCUGACUAAAUACUUGUUUGCCCCACUGUAAAUAAAUGUACUACGUUUGGAGAUUCAA